UUUUAUAAUAAUUACUAAAACCUAAAGAUAUUAAAUCCCAUUUGGUCUUGGAAAUUAAGAAGGGCCAGGCCUUGGUUAAUACUUGGAUGGGAGACCAUAAAUGAAUAUCAGGUGCGGCAAACU
rnacentral:rRNA from 1 species